rnacentral:rRNA from 1 species
GACGAACGCUGGCGGCGUGCUUAACACAUGCAAGUCGAACGAAGAGCGAUGGAGGCUUGCUUCUAUCGAUCUUCGUGGCGAACGGGUGAGUAACGCGUAAUCAACCUGCCCUUCAGAGGGGGACAACAGUUGGAAACGACUGCUAAUACCGCAUACGAUCUAAUCUCGGCAUCGAGGAUAGAUGAAAGGUGGCCGCUACAUGUAAGCUAUCACUGAAGGAGGGGAUUGCGUCUGAUUAGCUAGUUGGAGGGGUAACGGCCCACCAAGGCGAUGAUCAGUAGCCGGUCUGAGAGGAUGAACGGCCACAUUGGGACUGAGACACGGCCCAGACUCCUACGGGAGGCAGCAGUGGGGAAUCUUCCGCAAUGGACGAAAGUCUGACGGAGCAACGCCGCGUGAGUGAUGACGGCCUUCGGGUUGUAAAGCUCUGUUAAUCGGGACGAAAGGCCUUCUUGCGAAUAGUGAGAAGGAUUGACGGUACCGGAAUAGAAAGCCACGGCUAACUACGUG